UAAUAAUAAACAGUGAGCCAGAAAUGGAAUGUCUGGAACAGUGGGAAGUUCCAACCAGCACAAGUUUAUUGUUAGCACCCACAAGCCUGAUCUCAGGUGCCAGGAUUCCUCCGUUCUCUUCCCAUAGGUGAGUCAGGACACAUCUCAUAUCCCAGGAAGAAGAUCAGCCUUUGAGCCUCUUUCCUAUUUAUCCUUCCCAUGUAUAGAAUCACUGUUUGAAACUCAUUAUUUUUAAAUUUCUCAGAUACUUCCAAGAUGCUCCAAUUGGGAAAAGCUCGUCAGUAUCGCUUGUUCCCAGGAUGCUCAACAUUGGCUCAGCCAUGGCCUCCAGCCCAGCUGAUAUUUUGCAAAAGGUUUUCUGCGGCGGAAUCAGUCACUUGAGGCUCCACAGGUUCCCCAGGGAAAGACAAUGGAAUGACUUUUGUCAUAAACAGAAGAGAAGAUUUCUCAAAUAUGGUCUCAUCUUCACCAAGGCAUCACUGGUGGUCAGUCUGAUGAGAGUUUGAAGACGGGUGGUCAAGGUGUAGGCCUUCACACAUGGAAACUCAUCUUACCCUAACCCUCACCUCCCCCUAAGAGAGAUUCUAACGGACUGUUUUGUCAACCUGAGGAAGUGUUGUCAGGUUCACCAGAAGCUAGAGAGGAUAUGUUUUGCAACCAGGGGGGAAAAAAAGGAAAGAAACAAGAAAACAAAGAUUCUGCCUUGUGUCUGAGAAAUAUGAGUAUUUAUGCACAUACUAAUU
rnacentral:lncRNA from 1 species